UCUUCCGCAAUGGACGAAAGUCUGACGGAGCAACGCCGCGUGAGUGAUGAAGGCUUUCAGGUCGUAAAACUCUGUUGUUAGGGAAGAACAAGUGCUAGUUGAAUAAGCUGGCACCUUGACGGUACCUAACCAGAAAGCCACGGCUAACUACGUGCCAGCAGCCGCGGUAAUACGUAGGUGGCAAGCGUUAUCCGGAAUUAUUGGGCGUAAAGCGCGCGCAGGUGGUUUCUUAAGUCUGAUGUGAAAGCCCACGGCUCAACCGUGGAGGGUCAUUGGAAACUGGGGAACUUGAGUGCAGAAGAGGAGAGUGGAAUUCCAUGUGUAGCGGUGAAAUGCGUAGAUAUAUGGAGGAACACCAGUGGCGAAGGCGGCUCUCUGGUCUGUAACUGACGCUGGGACUCGAAAGCGUGGGGAGCAAACAGG
rnacentral:rRNA from 1 species